rnacentral:rRNA from 1 species
UGCAUGUCUAAGUAUAAAUUCUUGUACGAUGAAACUGCAGACGGCUCAAUUACAACAGUGAUAAACUAAUAGACUUUCGGGUUUUUAACCUUUUGGAUAACCGCAGUAAAUCGGGGCUAAUACAUACAAGCGAUGGGUGACUGGCAACGGAAGCUCAGCGAUUAUUAGCAUUACUACCAAUACCUUCGGGUCUUGUGGUGAAACCGAAUAAUAUUGCAGAUCGAGGAUUUAUCUUCGACAAGUCUACUGUGUCACUGCCCUAUCAACUUUCGAUGGUACGGUAUUGGCCUACCAUGGUUGUAACGGGUAACGGGGAAUUAGGGUUCGAUUCCGGAGAGGGAGCCUGAGAAAUGGCUACCACUUCUACGGAAGGCAGCAGGCGCGCAAAUUACUCAAUCCCAAUACGGGGAAGUAGUGACAAUAAAUAUCAAUACCUAUCCUUAACGGAGGGCAAUUGAAAUGAACACAAAUUAAAACUCUUAAUUAACACAAUUGGAGGGCAAGUCUGGUGCCAGCAGCCGCGGUAAUUCCAGCUCCAAUAGCAUAUACUAAAGUUGUUGCAGUUAAAAAGCUCGUAGUUGAAGUUAAAGGUUUACUGGGCUAAAGUUAUUUGCCACUCUGGUGGUUAAAUCAACUCCAGUAUUCCUUUUUUUAAUAGCUCUGCUUCUAGCAUCUUUGAUGUUAGUUGUUUGGGCAUUUCACUGUGAGAAAAUUGUGGUGUUUAAAGCAGGCGUCUCGCCUGAUCUUUUGCAGCAUGGUAUGAUGAAACAUGACAUUUUACG